CAUUUAUAAGGUGAUGGGGCCCACCAAACCGCCGCAAGGCUGAUGGCUCCUUUUGAAAA
rnacentral:ncRNA from 19 species